UGCCCAGUGAUUAUUUUUAACGGCCGCAGUACACUGACUGUGCUAAGGUAGCAUAAUGAUUUGUCUUUUGAUUGAGGACUGGAAUGAAGGGAUAAAUGGGAAGAAACUGUCUUAAAUGAAACUGACUAUAAUUUACUGUAGAAGGUGAAAAUUCCUUUAAUAGGAAAGAAAGACGAGAAGACCCUCAGAGUUAUAAUUAGAUUUCUAUCCUUUUAAAUAAAUUUUUGUUGGGGCAACAGAGUUAAAAAGGAGGGAAACUGACUUUUUAAGAAAUAUUCUACUCGAAACAUUAUAUCAAAUAAAGAAUUUAAUUACCUGAGGGAUAACAGCAUUAUUCAAAUAUGAGAAUAUGACCUCGAUGUUGGACUAGGAACACCCUUCAUUAGAUAUGAAGGGUGAAAGUUCUGUUCGA
rnacentral:rRNA from 1 species